rnacentral:rRNA from 1 species
AUUGAACGCUGGCGGCAUGCCUUACACAUGCAAGUCGAACGGUAACGCGGGGCAACCUGGCGACGAGUGGCGAACGGGUGAGUAAUGCAUCGGAACGUGCCCGGUAGUGGGGGAUAACUGCUCGAAAGAGCAGCUAAUACCGCAUACGACCUGAGGGUGAAAGGGGGGGAUCGCAAGACCUCCCGCUAUCGUAGCGGCGAAUGUCGGAUUAGCUAGUUGGGGGGGUAAAAGCCCACCAAGGCAACGAUCCGUAGAUGGUCUGAGAGGACGACCAGACAAACUGGGACUGAGACACGGCCCAGACUCCUACGGGAGGCAGCAGUGGGGAAUUUUGGACAAUGGGCGCAAGCCUGAUCCAGCAAUGCCGCGUGCAGGAUGAAGGCCUUCGGGUUGUAAACUGCUUUUGUACGGAGCGAAAAGGCUUCCACUAAUACUGGGGGCUCAUGACGGUACCGUAAGAAUAAGCACCGGCUAACUCCGUGCCAGCCGCCGCAGUAAAAC